CCUUCAGUGGUAUGUUUUUUUUUUCUUUUGCUCGAAGUUUUAAAUUGCUUGUAGUUUGUUAUUUGAGUUAAAGAGACUUCUAGAUUAAGAUGUAUAUGCUUGUAUAUGUUUAUGUUUAACAUUGUGUCACGCGGGGCAUUUAUAGCUUACUAUACAGUAUGGGUUUUGCUCGUUGUUGAAGGCCGUAAAGGUGUCACCUUGGUAAUCAUACGACAUCUUCUUUUUUGUAUUGUUUUAAAACGUUGAACAAUACUUAGCACACAUGUAAAGUAUUUUGUUUGUAACACGUAAAUUAUUAAAUCGUUUAAUUUUAAAUAUUGCUUCAGUUAGAUAGGAAUAUGCUGAAUAAGCUGUUAAUGCACAAUCAUAAAGGUGCCGCUGAGAGGUGCCGAUGCGGCGUAAAACAAUCACCAAUUAAUUAACCACAAUCUUAAAGAUAGGAAUGAAUGUAGGGAUAUGUGGAGUUUACGUCAAUGAUACAGCAGCUUACACAUUAACAGCAGUUACACAUUGAGGAUAUGUAUGUAAACUUUGUACGCGUGUGCAUUUAAGGAGUAUGAACUUUGAACAACAUAUACUCUGAAGAUGAUGUGUACAUCUCCAAUUCUUCUACAACCCAUAAUAAUAUUCUGACUGACUGCAACCUGUUUGGUAACGAGUUUGAAGCAGAUUAUCCAGUGCAAAAGCUAAACAUUAAUACCACAGAGACUGGAACUUAUUGGGUUGGUGCCAACAUAGGCUUCCAACGAAAUAUAAAUCCUUUAGGAGUUCGUCGUACAGCGUGUAAUAACAACCGAAAUGGAAGUUUAGAUGAAUGUAACAGGCAUUGUAAAGGCCAGAAAUAUUUUAGCUACAACGAACAUUCUUGUAGCUGUUUAAAUGAUCACCACGUUGACGUUGGGCUUUCAAAGACAAAAAUAUGCAAACACCCUAAAAAUGGUCUGUGUUAUGAACAAAACUGCGUAGUGUAUGAAAGAGAUGUUGAAAAAGAAGAUUAUUUGUGUGAUGUAUACUAUUUUGAACCUAACAUCAGAGAAUGGAUAUUCACAACUAAAAAUUGUUCUGUAAAGUUAAACUUUAUUUGCGAUGGAGAUAACCCUUCAUCCGAUGCAACCAAUACUUCAUGGCUUGUAGCAGAGCAAAUAUGUUCAAAAAAGGACAAACACUUACUACAGAUGACAAAAAUACUGGAAAAAAGAUUCAAAGACGGAAACAAUUAUUGGGUAUCUUUUUUUCGUCGAAAAAAGAUUUCUUGGGGAAUAGGUGGUGACAAAGAUGUCUGUGCUGCCAUAACCAUUUUCCCAAACGGAUCAGUAUCACUCGUGUCCAGGUUUUGUACAGAACAAUUAGCCACUUUGUGUUACACACAUAAACUGCACAGAGAUCAUCGGAAUACUACAGCGAAUGACGAUUCGUCGCCAUUAGGAUUAAUAGUUGGUUGUUGUAUUGGUGUAUUAGCUGUUAUUGCCAUGUGUAUAUGUAUCAUCAUUGUUAAACGCAGAAAUGUGAAAAAAAGAAAAUUGAAGUACCUUGAAUCAGUUAUUAAAGACUACGACACUGAGUAUGAUAAUCCUAUGGAGGACAUUUCAGACCAUAUGUACAAAAGCACUGAUGUCACAAAACCUAGCUGCUCUGACUAUUCAUUAGCUGUAACAUACAGCGACCCUAUCAACAGUGUAUUACCUAGAAAUACCAAAUCUAUACCAGAAACAGAAUAUGAAAGUGUAGGAAUGGUACCAUCAAAGAAAACACAGAUUUAUCCUGUAGAAAAUCCAUAUCAAAGUCCUUAUUCAUAAUCAGAUUUUUAUUUUCGUGGACCUUUACAUAAUUGAUUUUUUUUGGCUUUGUUUAAAAUUGGUGAAAUUUACAUUGUGUAUGCUUUUUAGCGAUCUCGACAAUAUGAUUGGCGUAUAUUGUACGUAGAUCAAUUGUAAAUCAUAAUGAUCAUUUAAUUUACUCAGUUUGUUUAACCGAUCUUGCCUCACGUAACGUAUGUAUCUGCUAUAUCAUCUCUUAUGCUGAUUCUGACCCUCCAAUAAUCCCAAAUAUUGCAUAGAACAAAUACUCUUUCACAGCCAACACGAAAAAAAACC